rnacentral:misc_RNA from 1 species
AUAUAUGAAAGGAGAAAGACAGGAGAGCAGAGAAAAAAUAUUUAUAGAAUAUCAAUAAAAGAAUCAAGAAAAUAUUGGAAAAAAAAUAAUAACACAGUGGAAAGUGAUAAACUAAAAGAAAUAUAAUGGAUUAUCCAGUUGAUACAGAUGACGAAGAGCCGAGAGAAGGAGAUUUUGGUGUUGAUUACGAAGUUAAUAAUGUUAUCGAAACGAAAAAGAGGGUCAGAUUUGCUGAUGAAUACGAGGAAGAUAAUGGAUUAAAUCAGGAUGAAUAUUCCAAGGGUGACUAUGAUGAUGAGCAUGCUGACUUUAUAGAAAAUCCAGGUGAAAAUGAUGUAAAACAUCGCAAUUCUUCUAUUUCUUCAACCGUACCAUUGUCUGCAACAUCAUCAAAAACGUAUUCAAAUUCGUCAUCUAUUAAAACAAUACAACCAACAAAGACAACUUAUGCUAGUACAAUAUCAACAACAACAACAACGACAACGACACCUGGUCGAAGAUUUGUAAACAAUGACGAACGUGUUUCAAUAGCCAAUUUGAAUGUGGCGAAAAAACAACUGCAAAAGUUUACUAUUCAAUCAGAAAACAAUAAGAAUACUUUAAAGAUGGAAGACAAACGAUAUGAUAGUGUAAUAGAAAAGGAAAUACUUUUAGAUGAGGAAAGAGAAUUACAAUUAAAAAAGGAGAGAGGAAUUAUUGUAAAUUCUCAAGAUUUCCAAGAAAUGACUGAAGUUGAUAGACAUACCCACGUUCAUAAAGAUGAAAUUAAUGACGAAUUGAAUGAAGAAGAUGAACAUGACGAAGAUGAAGAUGAAGAAUUUAAUGGAAAUUAUGAAACCAAUUUUCAUUCAGCUAAGGAAGAGACUUUAAUAGAAAAAGAGAUAAGAUUAGCUAAAGAAAGGGAAGAAGAGCUUAGACAACAACGCUCGUCCACAAGUCAAAUACAGUCACCACGACCAUCUACCACUAAUCCAAAUACGCCUACCCCUAUUAAAAGUGUCGUUGCUAAAACGCCUACUCAUUUUACUUCACCUUCAUCUACACCUACACCUAAUUCUACGCCAAAAACAAACGUAAAUCAACGAUUGUCUACUCCAUCAUCUACUUCUUCUCUUAAACGAAGCUCUCCUGCUCCAAUAGUAAUCCACGAAAGUCCAUGCAAUCAAUCAACUGAAAACAGACUUGCGAGAGAAUUGAGGGAGCAGGAGGAAAAAGAAGAGGAACUUCGAAUUAUUCGAAAGAAAAUGGGGUUACAAACAAAAGUUGAUGGAAUUGAAACAACGCCUAUACUUCCCAAUAUGCAGAAAAUCCAGAGUCCAUCCAUAAAUGAAUCGCCAUCUUCUCAACAUACAGAGAAGACUCAAUCUCCUCAUCAUUUUUCCGAAUCAUCUUACCCACCUGCAAAAGUAAAAGUAGCUCCUUUGUUAGAAGAAGACGAAACUGACCUCAGUCGAUUUGAAGUGAACACAAACGAAACUCCAAUUGAGACAGAAAUUAGACUGGCAAGGGAGCGAGAAGAGAGCUUUAGGAGAGAGAAAGGUAUAUCUCCAAAAGUAGCAAAAGAACAGGGGUCAAACUCUCCUCAUCAAAGAUUCUCUACUGGAACGCCGCCUAAUAUUGCAAAAACGAAUUCUAAUCAGAACUAUAAAACAUGGGUGCACUCAAGGAUUCAGAAUGAAAUUCAAUUGGAGCAGGAAAGAGAGGAAAACUUGAAACAUCAAGGCAGAAUAAUAACUACAUCAAAAGAUUCAGAAUCUGACGUUCGAAAAUAUACAGAAGUUACACCAACACAGCCAAAUAGCGAUAGAAAAUCAUUUGGAUCUGCAGGAAAGUCAAUUUUAAAGCACGAAAAUCAAACACGUAAAUUAUCAGAUUCAAACAGACCAAAUUCUUAUAAAUCUCCACAAAAUAUGAACAAUUCACCAAGAGGUUCAAUAGAUAGUACAGCAAGACAGAUAACGUCAAGCUCUUCAAUGAAUUUUGAAAACACUCCUACAAGCACAACGCGAAGAUUAAGCAGCGAAAACAUUCUAAAGCCCUCACCAAGGAGUAAUGACCUAAUUGAAAGAGAGUUGAGAGAAAUGCAUGAGAGAGAAGAAGAAUUGAGAAAGCAAAGAACUGCUCUCGGUCUCUAUCAUAAGAAUAAUGUACAGGAUAUAUACAACGACGACGAUGAUGACGACGACAUAGAAGAACAUAUAGAAACAGCCGAGGUAUACAGAGACGAAGCGAAUUUUCGUCGCUCGAGUAGUUCUUCAGUGGCAUCCUCUCAAAAUCAGAAUGAGAGCGGUUCCGCCGAGAGAGCAAGAAGAAAACAUAGAUUAGAAGCUGAGUGGAACCAAAAAAUCCAACAAAACUAUUGAAGAAAAAAUAAUAAUAAAAAACGAUUUUUCAAAAUGUUCAAUACUAUCUCCGUUUCGUUUACAAGUAAAUGGAAGAAAACUUCAAAGAACAGCAUCUUCCCUGGCUUUGCACUUUUUCGUUUUUUUGUCUCUUUGCCUUUAUUCAUCUCUGCCUCCCUCUCUACUGCUCUAUCCUAUUUUUUUUUUAUUUAUAAAAUGAUUCAAAACAAACUUUUCUGGCAAAUUUUCUCUCUCUCUCUCUCUCUGCUAAUUAUGAAUUCAUGAACUGCUUUUUUAUCAUUUUUUUUUUUAAAAGAAAACUUUACUCUCGAUAUUCGAACAAUCAAAAUAAAUGUAUUAAAUAAUUACAACGAUACAAUCAAAACUAUUGUAGUACAUAGUUUAUUGUGUUAUAGGGUUGACGCUUGUUUCGGUUUUCGAGAAGAUAAACUUGAGAUUACUCUGUGGUACGUAUUUUAGUGCGUAGAUUCUUGGUAGGAAUAAAAGAAUAAGGGUCAUAUAACCGUUUAAUAGACAACAAGAGGCUAACAGUAGGAUUUGGUGUUGAACUUUAAGUGAAGAAAAGUAGGCUGACAAUAAAACAAUCCAUACAAAAAGAGUCGCACUAACAAGACAGAAAAUAUGAGAGGCUUCGUUAAAAUUCUCUGGAAAUCUUCUCGAGAAGAAGCCCAGAAUGCAGCAUAUUAUACAUAAAAAUAUGUUGUACGUUAAGGUAAUAAUUAGAGCCGACAUACUAUAUUGACAAGUUGUUUCAACGUAAUUUUCGUGGAUAAACGGUUGUUUCAGCACUAUCAGUACUGGACUAAUAAUAAAUGUUAUGUUUGUGAGGCCUACUUGAAUUAAAAUUAAAACUCCUGUGAAUACUAUUUGGUAUUUAUCUUUAACAAACUUUAGAUUAGUUCUUCCUUCUGUCCCAGCUCUGAAUAUUCUCAAUAGUCUAGCUACUUUGCAAAGAAGAGGUGCGUAUAAUAUAGUGUAGGAUAGAUUAAAUAGAAUUCUCUGUACAUAGCAAAUUUGCUUUGUUGGCUGUGCUAAAAUGAAGAACACUGUUAAUAGUAUUAUUGCAACCCCCAAUAGGCUAAAGAGAGACAAAAUCAAUGAAGAAGCUUUAAUGAGCUGUACUUUUCGAUUUAGAAUAUAAACGAUGACUAUAAACAAUUCGGCGGCCAAGCCAAAGACUGCGAAUAAUUCCAGGCAUAUACUAUGGGUAUCAGAUAAUUUUGAGGACCAAGGUUCUAUAUUCAGGCACAUUGUUGCAGUUUCAGCAUCUGGCCAAGUAAAUUCUGGACAGCAUGCACAUGAAGAAUUAUCAAUAAUAAUUUCAUUUUCUCGACAUCUUCUACACUCCCAACAGCAAGUCGUUUGGAAAGUUAUACGAUAAUGUUUUGGAGGGCAGGGGAAACUGCAAAUUCCUUUUGGUUUUUUGUUCCUAAACCAGGCGAUAGGAGAUUUUUUCCAAGUGAUUGUGUUAUUUGAUCUAAACCAUUUACCAACAGUUCUCCUAUCGCCCGCCACUGUAAAUUGAACAAUAUCGUAAUCUCCAAUUACGUCACCAACACUAUCAAACAAGACAUUUCCUGUUAAUGACGGAAAAGUUCCCUUACGUGUUUUCUCAAGUAUUUUCUGUCCAGUAACGCAACUGUUCAAUUCGUGUUUAGUAGCAUUAGGACAAUCUUCUUUGAUAAUCGCGUCCAUAACUCGAGAGAAUAUCAAUACAGAAUCAUAAAUACCUGACGACCAAGCUUCAGAGAAUUUAAGUUGUUUUUCUUUUAAUGAGGAAAUUUUUGAAUGAGUUUGACAAAUUUUCGUAUGAAGUUUUGUUUUACUCCAACUACAAUCAAAAAUUUUUGACCAAUAUUCGUAAAGCCAUGGAUUUUCAGUAGAAUUUUUUGGAAUCUCGCCAUACACUUCUUCUCUUAAACCGGGUACUUCUAUGAAUGGAAAAUUCGUAAAGAAAGUAUUAUAUUUAACAACAGAUCUACUCUUUUCUUCCAAAAAUGAUAGGGAAUCUGUUCCCAAGUAUAAUUUCGACAGUAGUACAUCAUCUCCACUUAUUUUACGAAAAAAAAAGUUUGAAUUACUAUUACCAAGUGCCAAAACGACGAUAUCUGUCCUUGUAUCCCUCUUAAGCUUCUUACAUAUACGAUUCCAGUCAUUCUUCGUACUCUGGCCAGGAACCUUUAUAUACGAUGAAACGCAUAUGUUUCUCUGUGCCGCAACAUUUUUUAUCCACCUCGCUGCGUUUUCACCAUAGGGGCCUUCAGAGUAGACAAUGGUAAAAACGUUCCAGCCAUUUUCAUACAUGAAGGAAACAAGAGCAACAGCCUGGAACUUAUCAGGACUUACCACUCUGGAAAAGUAAGGAUAUCUUGAUUUGUCCGAUAAAUCGUCACUAGACGCUGAAGUUGAUAUUUGAGGUAUUUCAUAUAAUCCAAAUAACGGUGCAACCUUGAAUGAUAUUUCACAAUGAAACAUUAUCGAAUGAUAAAAAAUAUAAAUUACACAUUACCACUCUAGCCUGGGUACUUGAGUAGGGGCCAACAACAGCAUUUACUUCAAAUCUCUGCUCAGGAAGAAACAAUAGAGAUUCACCAAUAACACUCAGAAAGUUAUCGCAAUCAUCUAAAAUGCUAUAACCAAGUUUAAUACCAGAAAGAAGGUUCGUAUCCUCAUUCACUUGUCUAAUGGCCAUUUUUGCGGCAACAGCAUCAUAGUAACUAACAAUGCGAAAAUUGUUACUGCAAUAUUUUGUAGAUGUUGUCUCUCGUCUAUGUAAUGGUAAGAGAAAGCCAAUAUUUAAAUCUCCCUUUUUGUGCUCAAACUUUGAAUUCUUUAAAGAAUAAAAGCCAAUACCAGAACCGAAAAUUACUUGAAAUAAGCAAAAGAGGAAAAUUAUCUUUUCCAUUUCACUCAGUCGGGAAGCGAAAUAUUAAAGACUAAUGCGAAGAUGCAGAGAAGCCCCUAUCGGAGAAGUCUCUUUGUAACUAUAAAGUUGUUUAAGAUUUUGUUCUAAAUU